AGUAACGGCGAGUGAAGCGGCAACAGCUCAAAUUUGAAAUCUGGUCCCUCGGGGCCCGAGUUGUAAUUUGCAGAGGAUGCUUUUGGCGCGGUGCCUUCCGAGUGCCCUGGAACGGGACGCCACAGAGGGUGAGAGCCCCGUAUGGUCGGACACCAAGCCUAUGUAAAGCUCCUUCGACGAGUCGAGUAGUUUGGGAAUGCUGCUCAAAAUGGGAGGUAAACCCCUUCUAAAGCUAAAUACUGGCCAGAGACCGAUAGCGCACAAGUAGAGUGAUCGAAAGAUGAAAAGCACUUUGAAAAGAGAGUUAAAAAGCACGUGAAAUUGUUGAAAGGGAAGCGUUUGCGACCAGACUUGCGCCCGUCGGAUCAGCCGUCCCUCGUGGGCGGUGCACUCUGGCGGGCUCAGGCCAGCAUCAGUUCGCUGCAGGGGGAGAAAGGCGGCGGGAAUGUGGCUCUUCGGAGUGUUAUAGCCCGCCGCGUAAUACCCCUCGGCGGACUGAGGACCGCGCGUAAGCAAGGAUGCUGGCGUAAUGGUCGUCAGCGACCCGUCUUGAAACACGGAC
rnacentral:rRNA from 1 species